GAGUUUGAUCCUGGCUCAGAACGAACGCUGGCGGCGUGCUUAACACAUGCAAGUCGAACGUGAUCCGGAGCUUGCUCCGGUGAAAGUGGCGCACGGGUGAGUAACGCGUGGAUAACCUGCCCUGGUAUCUGGGAUAACAUCUCGAAAGGGGUGCUAAUACCGGAUAAGCCCACGGGUUCUUYGGAACUCGAGGGAAAAGGUGGCCUCUAUUUAUAAGCUACCGUAUCAUGAUGGGUCCGCGUACCAUUAGSUAGUUGGUGGGGUAAUGGCCUACCAAGGCGACGAUGGUUAGCUGGUCUGAGAGGAUGAUCAGCCACACUGGAACUGAGACACGGUCCAGACUCCUACGGGAGGCAGCAGUGGGGAAUUUUGCGCAAUGGGGGAAACCCUGACGCAGCAACGCCGCGUGAGUGAWGAAGGCUUUCGGGUYGUAAAGCUCYGUCAGAGGGGAAGAAAMMMMMUGRMAACASAUKCACWCMGGGUUUUUUUCWCCCCAAUYAAAAAAUAUAACCCCAAWAYAACAGAUACCCCCGGUMUUUUUUUACRCACUGGAAACASMUAUGACCMYGAAUWWGSAUUCACWGGCCGUCGUUUACAACCAMUGAAACAGCUAUGUCAUCC
rnacentral:rRNA from 1 species